UGCAGUGGAGCGACGAACCAGGGCUUGCCCUGGGGCAGAGCCGCGAACGGGUGAGUAACACGUGGGUAACGUGCCCCGAUGACUGGGACAACCCGGGGAAACCCGGGCUAAUACCGGAUAUGCCCCCUCACAUCAGUGAGGUGUGUAAAGGAAGCUUCGGCCUCCGCAUCGGGAUCGGCCCGCGGCCCAUUAGCUUGUUGGUGGGGUAAUGGCUCACCAAGGCUUCUAUGGGUAGCUGGUCUGAGAGGACGAUCAGCCACACUGGGACUGAGACACGGCCCAGACUCCUACGGGAGGCAGCAGUGGGGAAUCUUGCGCAAUGCGCGAAAGCGUGACGCAGCAACGCCGCGUGGGGGAAGACGGCCUUCGGGUUGUAAACCCCUUUCAGUUGGGACGAAGGUCGGGCGGUUAACAGCCGUUCCGGCUGACGGUACCUUCACAAGAAGCCCCGGCUAACUACGUGCCAGCAGCCGCGGUAAUACGUAGGGGGCAAGCGUUGUCCGGAAUCAUUGGGCGUAAAGAGCGUGUAGGCGGCUCGAUAAGUCCGCUGUGAAAGUCAAGGGCUCAACCCUUGAAUGCCGGCGGAUACUGUCGGGCUAGAGUCCGGAAGAGGCGAGUGGAAUUCCUGGUGUAGCGGUGAAAUGCGCAGAUAUCAGGAGGAACACCUACGGCG
rnacentral:rRNA from 1 species